CAGCAGCGUGCAUCGUGGGCGUGCGGUGUAGCGCCGGCGAAACGUACGGAACGAGAUGCGCGUACCAGCCGCCAGAACAGGCGCGGCAAUGUCGCACGCAAGCAGGAGCACUUUCUUGAAGACGACCGCGAUUGUGAUGGUGAUUACAGUACGCAGGAAUCGUGCCGGACGACUCUGCAAACCUCAUCCACAUGUGGUGAGCUAAUUAAGGGCAUUUUGGGCAGUACAGCAGUGCUGUUGGCAACAUGUGUUUUCCCCCCGUCCCUGAGCAAACAAAAUCAGCAAAAGACCCAAGCCCGUACACACAAUUACUUCAUGUCAGCAGAAAUCCUAGCGCACCGAGCGAAAGAUCUUUUCGUAAUAGGAUUGCUGUAGCUAGCGCGAUUGCAUGGGCGCAGAUGGAGAGCAGUAUCUGAAGAAAGCAACACAUACGCUUCCUGCUCGCUUUGCCCGGCCAGAGAACGAUAGCCGACACCCGACAAGCCGACGCGUACUUCCUUCGUGAGCCGCUUCUUCCUUGUUCUCCGUAUCGUAUUGCGCGCCAAAGGAAAGUGGAAACUUGACGCGCGGCCGAGCGUCUGGCAGCUGUUAUAUCAGUUAGGCGAGGUUAUCCAGGCUUAUCGGCAUCUAUGUGGGGCGGCACUUUCGUGUGCUGGAGAGAAAAUAGUGAGACCGCCACUUCCGUUUGUCCUCAAAAAACACUAAAUCACGAUAUACUUUAACGUCAGCAUAAAGGGACAGCAGUAGUAGCAAAUGUGGAAGAGUUACACAAGAGUUUUAUUAACAGAUAGAUAGAGACGUUUUGUUACAUUUGUGUAUAUGGAAGAUCGUGUUACAUGUAUGUGUGUAUACUAUAAAUAGGAUGAAAAUGAGUUAAAAAAAAAACAAAAGAAUGUGUUUUCCUUCUCUGUUCUGUACACUACGCAUUCCAAAUCUUCAAGUUUUGUUAAAACCAAAUGGAAGCAAAUCAGUGUCCAUCAAGCUUACGGUAUAAAACAAUACGACGCCAACAGAGCGGUUUUUUGUUGCUGCUUUUUGCGCUCAAAAAAGUGCAUAAUACAAAUAAUUUCCACACUCCACAGGGUAAUGGGUCCCCCCACACGCCGUCAUUUCCAUCGUGCCUCCUUUUAAAAGUGAUUCCUACAAACUACCUACAAACUAGACUAAAACAUAUGCACCCUUUAGGUGGUGCGCAAACAGGCAUACCCGCGCAGUGUGAGUUGUUUUGUGCCUGCUUGCUUAAAGCUACAACUGUAAGAUUGACCGUCCGAGAUUCGUUCGAAUUGGGCAAGUGGCAUCAAAUCGUGGAAAGGGGUUUACACGCAGUUGGAGUAUAAACGUUGCCUUAUAAAUGCUACUAAAUUUGCUAUCCGCUAGUCUUAACGCUACGCAAGAAGUACAAUUAAUUUCCCACCAUAUUUUCUAAUAGAUGCGCGCGUAGCUGCCGUUACGUUAUGCAGUGGCGGAUGCAGACACCUGACUUGGCGAACCUGGGGGAACAAGAACCUAAUGGACCUAGGAACCUUGUGCGAGACUGACCUAUUAUACGAGGUCUUAAGGUCCCUUGCUGUGAUGCUCCUUACACGAGGUCCCUUAUAGAACGAGCUCCUUCCCUUUAUACGAGUCUCCUAAUACGAGACCCUUAACCCGUGCCUCUUGGUAUGAAGCUCCUUAUACGAGGUCCCUUGAUCCCUUAGAGGAGCCUGGUGAUACGUAGUCCUUAAUACGAGUCUCCUUAUACGGAGGUCUCUUAUAGGAGGCGCAUGAUGAAAGUCUUCUAAUACGAGACCCCUUGGGACCAAUCAUAACCGACGGUCGCCUACUCCGCCACUAGCAUUCAGCUACGUAAAGGGCUAGCCUGAUGCCUGAACCGUGUCUACAUUUUUCCUUUUAACUGUUUGCAUUUGCUUCUUCGGACUUCCCGCUUCUGCAGACCGAGUGUGCCCGAGACACAGCGUAUCUGAGCGCUAUAGCUGUUUCUGUUCAACAGUGUGAUAGAUAGAGAGUGAGAGACAGACUAAAGGAAAACAAAAAAAAA